rnacentral:misc_RNA from 1 species
GUAGGUGAACCUGCGGAAGGAUCAUUAACAGUUGUUUUGACGAUAGUCACUACUUCUACAAUCAUGUGUGCACCGUUUUGACUGACCAAUGUGUGCGGGUACUCUGCAAAGGGUAUGGCUGCCACAUUUUUUUACCUUGACACCAAACCGUCUUUUGUAUACUGAAUAGUAAAGCUUGGUUGAAAAACUUGCAAAACUUUUAGCAAUGGAUCUCUAGGCUCUU